AAUCAACGCUGGCGGCGUGCCUCAGACAUGCAAGUCGAACGAUUAAAGCUCUCUUCGGAGAGUGCAUAAAGUGGCGCACGGGUGAGUAACACGUAAGUAACCUGCCCUCGAGUGGGGAAUAACGUCCGGAAACGGACGCUAAUACCGCAUAACGCAGCGGCACCGCAAGGUGACAGUUGUUAAAGGAGCAAUCCGCUUGAGGAGGAGCUUGCGGCAGAUUAGCUUGUUGGUAGGGUAACGGCCUACCAAGGCUACGAUCUGUAACCGGUCUAAGAGGACGGUCGGUCACACUGACACUGAAUAACGGGUCAGACUCCUACGGGAGGCAGCAGUCGGGAAUUUUGGGCAAUGGGGGAAACCCUGACCCAGCAACGCCGCGUGAAGGAUGAAGUAUUUCGGUAUGUAAACUUCGAAAGAAUAGGAAGAAUUAAUGACGGUACUAUUUAUAAGGUCCGGCUAACUACGUGCCAGCAGCCGCAGUAACAC
rnacentral:rRNA from 1 species